GACGAACGCUGGCGGCGUGCCUAAUACAUGCAAGUAGAACGCUGAAGAGAGGAGCUUGCUCUUCUUGCAUGAGUGGCGAACGGGUGAGUAACGCGUAGGUAACCUGCCUUUUAGCGGGGGAUAACUAUGGGAAACGAUAGCUAAUACCGCAUAACAUUUUAUGACACAUGGCACUUAUGUGAAAGGGGCAAUUGCUCCACUACAAGAUGGACCUGCGUUGUAUUAGCUAGUAUGUGAGGUAAUCGCCCACCUAGGCGAAGAUACAUAGCCCGCCUGGGAGGGUGGUCGGCCACCCUGGGAACGAGAAACGGCUCCGACUCCUACGGGAGGCAGCAGUAGGGGAUCUUCGGCCAUGGGGGCAAAGCUGGACGAGCAACGCCGCGUGAGUGAAGGAGGUUUUCGGAUCGUAAAGCUCCGUUGUAUGUCAAGAACGGGUGUGAGAGUUGAAAGUUCACACUGUGACGGUAGCUUACCAGAAAGGGACGGCUAACUACGUG
rnacentral:rRNA from 1 species